CAAUUUGAGUCAAUUUCAAGGACUAUAUAUAAGGCAACCCGCUUAACUUCUCGUUUUCUUCUUCAGUUCAGUAGCUCCUGCUCCCUCGGCACCAACAUAAGCUUCUUUUCGCCAUGGAUUACAUGAAAACAGUAGUCCCUACGAACCUCUUUACCGAGCGUGGCUCCAAUAUCGUCGUCAUUAAUCCAGGUUCCGCAAAUAUCAGAAUUGGAUUGGCUAAUCAGGAUACUCCAUUCAAUAUACCUCAUUGCAUUUCCCGUCGCACUACUCAAUUACCUAAACGACAUGUUCAAGAUCAAAUGGUGAAUUCUCAGGUUACAACUGCACAACAUAUGGAGCGGGAAAGAGCGUAUGACAUGAUUGCUUCGCUGUUGAGAAUUCCGUUCUUGGAUGAGGAGGUAGCUAACAGUUCUUAUCCACGCAAGAUGGGACGUGUGGAUGCAUAUCCUCCGCAGAAUAACACGAAAGAGCCAGAGUUCACUUGGACUGAUGUUUUAGAAAAAAAUGUCCCUCAUUCUUCAACAAAGGCUGUAGCAGUAGAAGCCGAACCAAACGAGGGUGGUACCAGCGAGGACCCCACUCUGAAGGAAAGCAAGAUUAAGGUUGAAUCUAAUUCCAGUGAACGUAAAUAUAGAGAGUACAUAUGUGGAGAGGAAGCUCUACGAAUAUCCCCAACUGAACCAUAUUGCUUGCGCCGUCCUAUACGCCGAGGUCAUCUUAAUAUAUCUCAACUUUACCCUACGCAGCAGGUUCUUGAAGACCUGCAUACCAUCUGGGAUUGGAUUUUGCUUGAGAAAUUGCAUAUUCCUCAUAGCAUGAGAAACAUGUAUUCUGCAAUCCUUGUUCUUCCAGAGACAUUCGACAGUCGUGAAAUUAAAGAAAUGCUUUCUAUCGUGUUGCGUGACUUGAGCUUCAGCUCAGCAGUAGUCCACCAGGAAGGUCUUGCUGCAGUUUUUGGAAAUGGUUUAUCAACGGCAUGCAUUGUCAAUAUUGGUGCUCAAGUGACAUCUGUUAUCUGUGUUGAGGAUGGAGUGACUAUACCCACGACACAGAUAUCUUUACGUUUCGGCGGAGAGGAUAUAUCAAGAUGCCUUCUCUGGACGCAGAGGCAUCAUCAAACAUGGCCACCAAUUCGGACUGAUGCCCUGUCAAAGCCUGUAGAUUUGCUAAUGCUUAACAGGCUUAAGGAGUCCUACUGUCAGAUCAAAGAGGGGGAAGUAGAAGCUGUUGCUAUGGUACAAUCAUAUGAAGAUGGAGUGCCGCCUGGAUCUCAUAAGACAAGGCUGACUGCUCUUAAUGUUCCUCCAAUGGGUUUAUUUUACCCAACGCUUUUGGUUCCAGACAUCUAUCCUCCGCCACCACGUUCUUGGUUUAAUGAUUAUGAUGAUAUGCUUGAGGACACAUGGCACAUGGACUUCCCUGGUGGUAGUGCAUUUCCGAUGUGGGAGAGCUACCCAAUUUUUCAAACAAAGCCAAAGAAAGAAGAUAAUAUUGGUCUAGCUGAAGCUAUUACAAAGAGCAUUCUUUUGACAGGGCGUAUUGACCUGCAGAGAAAAUUGUUUUGCAGCAUGCAACUGAUUGGUGGAGCUGCACUGAGUGACGGUCUCAUUCCUGCUGUGGAGGAAAGAGUAUUACAUGCAAUCCCUUCACAUGAAGCAAUUGAUACUGUGGAGGUCUUGCAAUCAAGAACGAAUCCAGCUUUUGUGUCAUGGAAAGGCGGAGCAAUCCUCGGCAUUCUUGAUAUUAGUAGGGAUGCAUGGAUUCAUCGAGAGGACUGGAUUAAAAAUGGGAUCCACAUUCGCAGUGGGAGAAAGUACAAGGAUUCAUAUUAUCUUCAAGCACAGGCAAUGUGUUAUAUAAAUUCAUGAUAGGUAUAAAUGAGUGUUGCUCAUCCCGUAGUAUAUUCAGUUGAGACUACAUCACAGUUUAAUAAAAAUCUCUGCAGGUAUUAUGUGUUGGCUUUUCUUUUUCUUCUCUUUCUUUCUCUCUCUCUCUCUCUCUCAGAUUGAAUGGGAUGGGCAAAGAGAAUGGGAAGGGGGCAGAAAUUGAUCUAGAAAUGAUGAGGCUAUGGGAGGCUUCCUGCAGGGUUAUGAGAUUGAGAAGACGGAAACUGGGGCUUGAGGGCCACAUUUUCUUCGGUCUUUGUGGCUUCUAUUGAAGACAGAGGAACUGAGCGCUUGACUCCUCCCUCCCGACUCAUUCAAUUAAUGUUUGUUAUCAUCUCAUUCUGGAGUACAUAGUAGCACUUGUGAAAGAGGACAUCGACAGUCCUGAAAAUCAGUCAAGACAAGUUAAGAGUCCAAUCUGGAGUACAUUCUGGGUAACUAAGUCACUGUAACGGGUAAUUUAAAUCUUGCUAACCAUUGUUUUCUAGUAGUUGACAUAUUGAGCCUAUUGCCGAACUCAAUGUCAUUCAACUGAAUAUCAAUUUGAUAAAUGAUUCAAAAUCCUAUUAGUUGCACGUCGUUGUUCAUGCUAGUUACUAUGUACCAUUGCUGUUCUGCAGCCGACAUAUUCACUCACUCCAUCCAGAUUUGUUUUCCAA